UACGAAGGGGGCUAGCGUUGCUCGGAAUCACUGGGCGUAAAGCGCACGUAGGCGGCUCUUUAAGUCAGGGGUGAAAUCCUGGAGCUCAACUCCAGAACUGCCUUUGAUACUGAGGGCUUGAGUCCGGAGAGGUGAGUGGAACUGCGAGUGUAGAGGUGAAAUUCGUAGAUAUUCGGAGGAACACCAGUGGCGAAGGCGGCUCACUGGCUCGACACUGACGCUGAGGCGCGAAAGCGUGGGGGAGCAAACAGG
rnacentral:rRNA from 1 species